GGUCGGUACUGGAAUGAUUCUAGUGAAACUAGUUUGUGUGAUAUACAUGCACUUCUGUGAUUUUCAAAUCAUUUCUGUUAAACA